UUUGUUGUCGUCCAGCGGUUAGGUUAUUUGGCUUUCCCCCAGGAAACUCGGGUUUGAUUCCCGGCAACGGAA
rfam:Ipomoea nil DNA, scaffold: scaffold2144, cultivar: Tokyo-kokei standard.